rnacentral:rRNA from 1 species
AUGGUGGAAAGUUUUUUCGGUUGGGGAUGGGCUCGCGGCCUAUCAGUUUGUUGGUGAGGUAAUGGCUCACCAAGACGACGACGGGUAGCCGGCCUGAGAGGGCGACCGGCCACACUGGGACUGAGACACGGCCCAGACUCCUACGGGAGGCAGCAGUGGGGAAUAUUGCACAAUGGGGGAAACCCUGAUGCAGCGACGCAGCGUGCGGGAUGACGGCCUUCGGGUUGUAAACCGCUUUCAGCAGGGAAGAAGCCCCUUGGGGUGACGGUACCUGCAGAAGAAGUACCGGCUAACUACGUGCCAGCAGCCGCGGUAAUACGUAGGGUACAAGCGUUGUCCGGAAUUAUUGGGCGUAAAGAGCUCGUAGGUGGUUGGUCACGUCUGCUGUGGAAACGCAACGCUUAACGUUGCGCGUGCAGUGGGUACGGGCUGACUAGAGUGCAGUAGGGGAGUCUGGAAUUCCUGGUGUAGCGGUGAAAUGCGCAGAUAUCAGGAGGAACACCGGUGGCGAAGGCGGGACUCUGGGCUGUAACUGACACUGAGGAGCGAAAGCAUGGGGAGCGAACAGGAUUAGAUACCCUGGUAGUCCAUGCCGUAAACGUUGGGCACUAGGUGUGGGGGACAUUCCACGUUCUCCGCGCCGUAGCUAACGCAUUAAGUGCCCCGCCUGGGGAGUACGGUCGCAAGGCUAAAACUCAAAGGAAUUGACGGGGGCCCGCACAAGCGGCGGAGCAUGCGGAUUAAUUCGAUGCAACGCGAAGAACCUUACCAAGGCUUGACAUACACCAGACCGUUCUGGAAACAGUUCCUCCCCUUUGGGGUUGGUGUACAGGUGGUGCAUGGUUGUCGUCAGCUCGUGUCGUGAGAUGUUGGGUUAAGUCCCGCAACGAGCGCAACCCUCGUUCUAUGUUGCCAGCACGUAAUGGUGGGAACUCAUAGGAGACUGCCGGGGUCAACUCGGAGGAAGGUGGGGAUGACGUCAAAUCAUCAUGCCCUUUAUGUCUUGGGCUUCACGCAUGCUACAAUGGCUGGUACAGAGAGAUGCGAGACCGCGAGGUUUUAGCGAAUCCCUUAAAGCCAGUCUCAGUUCGGAUCGUAGUCUGCAAUUCGACUACGUGAAGUCGGAGUCGCUAGAAUCGCAGAUCAGC